CAGCACGACGUGAAGCCACAUGGAAACGCUUGGAAGAAGUAGCUGCAAAGAAAUCUGCGAGCAACGAAGCUGUGCUUGUUUUUGGCAAAGCACCUCCGCGCACUACUUCACUUUAGCCGAAGCAAGACACUUGCUGACAAUACAAUGAACACUUGCUGACAAUACAAUGACAUCAAAUUUCUAUCAAUUUAAAACGGGAUUCGUAGUAUUGUGACGUGGUUCGGGUGGUGAAAUGCUCAUAUUUGCUAACUGCUCACUGGUACUGAAUAUUGCAGGAUCAUUGUGUA
rnacentral:lncRNA from 1 species